rnacentral:rRNA from 1 species
UGGGGAAUAUUGCACAAUGGGCGCAAGCCUGAUGCAGCAACGCCGCGUGAGGGACGACGGCCUUCGGGUUGUAAACCUCUUUUAGUAGGGAAGAAGCGAAAGUGACGGUACCUGCAGAAAAAAGCACCGGCUAACUACGUGCCAGCAGCCGCGGUAAUACGUAGGGUGCGAGCGUUGUCCGGAAUUAUUGGGCGUAAAGAGCUCGUAGGCGGUCUGUCGCGUCUGCUGUGAAAACCCGAGGCUCAACCUCGGGCCUGCAGUGGGUACGGGCAGACUAGAGUGCGGUAGGGGAGAAUGGAAUUCCUGGUGUAGCGGUGGAAUGCGCAGAUAUCAGGAGGAACACCGAUGGCGAAGGCAGUUCUCUGGGCCGUAACUGACGCUGAGGAGCGAAAAGCGUGGGGAGCGAACAGGAUUAGAUACCCUGGGUAGUCCACGCCGUAAAACGUUGGGCGCUAGAUGUGGGGACCAUUCCACGGUUUCCGUGUCGCAGCUAACG